rnacentral:rRNA from 1 species
UACGGAGGGUGCGAGCGUUGUCCGGAAUCACUGGGCGUAAAGGGCGCGUAGGCGGCCUGAUGAGUAGGGGGUGAAAUCCUGCGGCUUAACCGCAGGGCUGCCUUCUAAACUGUCAGGCUAGAGCACAGUAGAGGCAGGUGGAAUUCCCGGUGUAGCGGUGGAAUGCGUAGAGAUCGGGAAGAACAUCAGUGGCGAAGGCGGCCUGCUGGGCUGUUGCUGACGCUGAGGCGCGACAGCGUGGGGAGCAAACAGG